CGGUGGAGCAUGUGGUUUAAUUCGAUGCAACGCGAAAAACCUUACCACUCCUUGACAUGAAGAUUAGAUCCUCCUUAACAGGAGGGCGCAGUUCGGCUGGGUCUUGCACAGGUGCUGCAUGGCUGUCGUCAGCUCGUGUCGUGAGAUGUUGGGUUAAGUCCCGCAACGAGCGUAACCCUCACCCUUAGUUGCCAGCGGGUAAUGCCGGGGACUUUAAGGGAACUGCCAGUGGUAAGCUGGAGGAAGGUGGGGAUGAUGUCAAGUCAGCAUGGCCCUUAUGGGGUGGGCUACACACGUGCUACAAUGGUGACUACAAUAGGUUGCAACGCCG
rnacentral:rRNA from 1 species